GUCAAUUGAAUGAACUCCGCAACCUGGGAGGAAAUUUAAGAAUUGAAAAUCUAGGAUAUGGGAAAGAUGAGGUGCGGGAAUGUAAAGAUGCAAAUUUAAAGGAUAAACAGCAUCUUCAACAACUUCUAUUAGAGUGGGAUGCCUCCAAGUGGGAUGGAGAAACCGAAUGCCACAUCCAAAUCUUAAAAGUGUUGAAAUUGUGGUUUUAUAUGGGUGUGAUAAUUCCAAUUUGGGUCUCUUCUCUCACUAAUCUUGUUCAUUUUGAAUUAUAUGAUAAUAGGAUAUUGCAACACCUCCCACCGUUAAAUCAACUCCCUUUUCUCAAGUCUGUCACUCUUCAAUAUAUGAAUACAUAUGGAUAGAUGAAGACAGUGUUAGGAAUGUGUUGGGUGCUUCCUCUUCUUCUUCUUCUUCUUCUUCUUCAAAAACACCAUUCUUCCCAUCCUUAUCUUCUCUUGAAUUAACGGAAUGCCCAAAUCUGAAGGGAUGGUGGAGGAAUUCAAAUGAUAUUGUUUCCAUAUUUGAAAGAAAGCCUGAUAUUGAGGAGGUGUAGCUGGAAGGGAUUGGAGCAGAUAAUGAAAAUGAAAAUGGGAGCGGCAACCACAUCAACCUACUUUCCUCUCUCUCAAUUACAGGUUUUGGAAUUAGAGAAGAUUAACGAUUUUGAAUCUCUUCCAGUGAAGGGGCUACAGAACCUCAUUUCUCUACGGGAACUCAAUAUAAGAUGGUGCUAUGGACUGGGUUCUCUCCAUUGGAUAAGCAGCCUCACAUCACUACAAACCCUUGAAAUCUGGGGAUGUCCCAAUCUGACAUCACUUCCUCAAGAGAUUCACAAUCUCACCUCUUUAAAAGAGUUGCGAAUUUAUGAUUGUCCCCUUUUACGGCAAAGAUGCGAGAGGCAAAUAGGUGAAGAUUGGCCCAUCAUUGCCCAUGUCCCAAGCGUAAUUAUGGAUUGGCAGAACCAGCAAGAAGUAACGAUUUCUUCAGAAUCUGAGUCAGUUUGUGAAGAUGAGGACUUAACCUAGCAAAUAGCACCAUAGGAAUCAGCUUAUUUGACAGAAUCAUAGCAAAUUUGGUAGAAUUUUGAAGGGAGGAGCGUGAUCAGGCAACUAACAACGGAU